rnacentral:snRNA from 1 species
GUUCUCACUUUGGCAGCACAUAUACUAAAAUUGGAAUGAUACAGAGAAGAUUAGCAUGACGCCUGUGCAAGGAUGAUAUACAAAAAUAAAAAUAAUAUAUGCAC